AGCAUAUAGCGUUGUUAAAAGCGGUGCGUGAGUGGGUGAGAUCUUUUGGGCGGUGGCACUUUGUCCACGUUGCAGUAAAUCUCUUCUGCCAUUUACUGUCACUCAUCGCGCCUUUUUGGUCAGCGCAGCUUAGUUCGGAAAUAUGACCAAAGAUUCGCAUAGUGCAGAUAAAUGGCAGUGGCGCGAGUUCUCUGAACUCUAUUUGAGGAAUGCCUCUGCUCCAGUGACAAUGGCAUUGAAGCAUGUGGAUCAUUGGCUGUGUGAUAAAACAUACUUGGUCGGAACUGAAGCCACAUCCAUUGACUCAGAUAUCUUCAGACUUAUUCAUCCUGCCAUGGCCCGUCUGUCCCACCAGGAGCGCGAGGCGUACCCGCACCUGUGCCGCUGGUUUCGGCUGGUGCAGAGCACCGAGCCGGCCAGCGCCGGCCGCGCCACCGUCGUCAUCAGCCGUGCCCGGCUCUACGCGUGAUGCCGGCGAACGCGCGCCCGGAGCGGGGUCUGCUCGGGAUGGGGGCGAGAUGCGGGCGCCGGCUGCAGCUCGUCCGGCGACGCGAACGGGGUGUGAACCUGUGGACCAGCCCUGCCACUGGCGCAGACCGAACGCAGGCCGAUUCUCCCCCCCCCCCCCCACACCCACACCCGCACUCAUGAUGUGGGCAACAUGCAGACUCAUGGACAUAUCUCGUAGAACACGGUGACCCCGCUCGUUACGAGUAGACGCCAUCUCUACUCGUCAUGCAGAGGGAGGGAGGGAGCGCGGGCUGCCAGCCUGACUCGACUCGUGUUGUGGAGCGACCGACCAUGUUUGGACUCGGCUGAGUGCACGGAUGGAACGCUGGGCUCAGUAAACAGCUUACAGAGUUCGGUCGUCACCAGAAGGCUGAUCACUGCUCGAUCAAUGUCGGCUGAUUAAGGCUUGCCCGGCAAAUUCAGUUCUGCCGCGUCAUUCGGCGCUCGUCAUGCGUUGAGAGCUGCGCUGUUUUGCCGGUAAGGGCCAGGCGCGGACUCAUGGGAUCUUUGUGCGCUUGUUGUCCGGUUCUGGGCGCGGGAGGACUGAGGGUGAGGUCGCCGUUUUACUUGUGGACAUGCUGUUUGCAGGUCGACAGUUCGCUCUGAUCUUCCUUCUGGGCGUCUGGCUGCGAUUGGCGGGAUUUGUGGUGUGCGUUGAUGGCGGGGGUGACUGGUGGUGCUCGCAGUGUUCAGCAAGGCUGGGAUAACCACAUGGAGCUAAACGGCAGACGUGUGGGCCGUGGUCGCAUUGUGAAAACCUCGACAUUAUGAAAACUUUGACAGGGUUGCGUGAUGUCUUCGGUUGUGACAUAAAUGAUCAAUCCAUACGAAAGAUGGUA